GAGCAAAUGGAGAGCAGUACCUGACAUGAACAAGCAUGGUUACAUUAACAUAGUAAAUCCUAAUGAUGACACUGCUGCAUGGAAAUCAAAAUAAUCAAGAAGAAAAUUUUGGAAGUUCAAAUAAGUUAGAAUCCCAUUUUAAUAUCAGCAUAGAGUCUCUAUCUCUCUCUCUCCAUGUUCUUAGGGUGGGCCAUGCAGGUCCAGAAUCUUACAUUCUGAUCCAGUUGACGUUAAAAAAUUUAAAAACCACAUAAAUCACCAUGCGUUAAGAAAGAGAUGAGAAAGAUUAUCACUCGCACAAUCAACUUUCAUAUCCUGAGACACGAGCUCUUAACUAAACCAUAAUUGCAGGGGAGCGAAAAGCAAGUCCAAGACAAAAGAAUUCAGACGAAACUUGAAGGCAAUGCUUUGCAAGCCUAAAUAACCAAAACCAAUCACACUAAAUCUGGCAAAAGAAAGUAACUGCCACGAUAUUCCUCAUCCAUUGCCACAACAUUAGAAUGACAUGAAUAUGAUUGCUAUUCGCCUUUCCCAUUUUACCAUUGGUGCUGGUCCAUAAAGCUGUAAAAUAAUUAGCAUAACCUCAUGGAUCUGAGUCAAACCUUAGAAAUGGUAAGAGCAGGG
rnacentral:misc_RNA from 1 species